rnacentral:rRNA from 1 species
UCAUUACCUAGAGUUGUAGGCUUUGCCUGCUAUCUCUUACCCAUGUCUUUUGAGUACCUUACGUUUCCUCGGUGGGUUCGCCCACCGAUUGGACAAACUUAAACCCUUUGCAGUUGAAAUCAGCGUCUGAAAAAACUUAAUAGUUACAACUUUCAACAACGGAUCUCUUGGUUCUGGCAUCGAUGAAGAACGCAGCGAAAUGCGAUAAGUAGUGUGAAUUGCAGAAUUCAGUGAAUCAUCGAAUCUUUGAACGCACAUUGCGCCCCUUGGUAUUCCAUGGGGCAUGCCUGUUCGAGCGUCAUUUGUACCUUCAAGCUCUGCUUGGUGUUGGGUGUUUGUCUCCUGUAGACUCGCCUUAAAACAAUUGGCAGCCGGCGUAUUGAUUUCGGAGCGCAGUACAUCUCGCGCUUUGCACUCAUAACGACGACAUCCAAAAGUACAUUUUUACACUCUUGACCUCGGA